GUGCCAGCAGCCGCGGUAAUACGGGGGGGGCGAGCGUUGUCCGGAUUUACUGGGCGUAAAGCGCGUGUAGGCGGCGAUUUAAGUCCGGGGUGAAAGGCGGGGGCUCAACCCCCGAGCGGCAACGGAAACUGGAUCGCUUGAGUGUCGGAGAGGGGAGUGGAAUUCUCGGUGUAGCGGUGAAAUGCGUAGAGAUCGAGAGGAACACCCGUGGCGAAGGCGGCUCCCUGGCCGAACACUGACGCUGAGACGCGAAAGCGCGGGGAGCGAACGGGAUUAGAUACCCGGGUAGUCC
rnacentral:rRNA from 1 species